rnacentral:rRNA from 1 species
UACAGAGGGUGCGAGCGUUAAUCGGAAUUACUGGGCGUAAAGCGCACGUAGGUGGCGACGUAAGUCGGGUGUGAAAGCCCCGGGCUCAACCUGGGAAUUGCAUUCGAGACUGCAUUGCUGGAGUACGGAAGAGGAAGGCGGAAUUCCCGGUGUAGCGGUGAAAUGCGUAGAUAUCGGGAGGAACAUCAGUGGCGAAGGCGGCCUCCUGGGCCAACACUGACGCUCAUGCACGAAAGCGUGGGGAGCAAACAGG